AUAUCAGAAACCUCACCAAGUUAUCAGGCUGGCAAAUAAUUUGACAGAUCUCACAAAUGGAACUGUUUUGAUUUACCUGUUCUGCUUCACAUGUAACACCUUCUCGGCCUGCCUCUCUGGCUCUGGCUGCUCCGCUGCUCCUGCCUUAAACAAUUGCAGCCAAGAGGAUUGAGACACUUGAAAGGCUGUCAUCAACUGUCCCCAUCAUCGCUCCCCUUUCUUCCCUGGGAAAGCAAGGAAUGUCAGGAUUGUUGCAGGAAGCAAGCAGCAUAAGGCUUGGCAGGAAGGUACGAGUCCUGGGAAGGAUAUACCUACACCUGGGGUCACGACUUCAAAUGCCUGCAAUGCCAGUUUUAAACUCUUCUGGAUGGAUGCUGGGCUACGUGAUCCCACUCAGCUGGAGAGCCUCUGGGAUGAAUGGGCCAAUUCCAGAGCCACUGCCGAUAAUCUGCAAGGCAGAAAAUCCAAUUAUGGGUAAUUAGGAGUCACUCCAAGAUUCUGUAGACAGUAGCUUGAUGCUGCCUUAUGGCUAUAAACAACCGUCUCUGAAUAAAAACUAAUUUGAAAUAGCUUGACUACUAAUU
rnacentral:lncRNA from 12 species